GUCUCGGCUAAUGUGUCUUGGCUAAGGUGUCUUGGCUAAUGUGUCUUGGCUAAGGUGUCUUGGCUAAGGUGUCUUGGCUAAGGUGUCUUGGCUAAGGUGUCUUGGCUAAUGUGUCUUGGCUAAUGUGUCUUGGCUAAUGUGUCUCGGCUAAUGUGUCUCGGCUAAUGUGUCUCGGCUAAUGUGUCUUGGCUAAUGUGUCUUGGCUAAGGUGUCUUGGCUAAUGUGUCUUUACUUAUUUGUCUUGGCUAAUGUGUCUCGGCUAAUGUGUCUUGGCUAAGGUGUCUUGGCUAAUGUAUCUUGGCUAAGGUGUCUUGGCUAAUGUGUCUCGGCUAAUGUGUCUUGGCUAAGGUGUCUUGGCUAAUGUGUCUUGGCUAAGGUGUCUUGGCUAAUGUGUCUUGGCUAAGGUGUCUCGGCUAAUGUGUCUUGGCUAAGGUGUCUUGGCUAAGGUGUCUUGGCUAAUGUGUCUUGGCUAAUGUGUCUUGGCUAAGGUGUCUUGGCUAAGGUGUCUCGGCUAAUGUGUCUUGGCUAAGGUGUCUUGGCUAAUGUGUCUUGGCUAAGGUGUCUUGGCUAUGGUGUCUUGGCUAAGGUGUCUUGGCUAAUGUGUCUUGG